rnacentral:tRNA from 1 species
GUGGAUGUAGCUCAGUUGGUAGAGUGUAGGAUUGUGGCUCCUGUUGUCUUGGGUUCAAGACCCGUCUUCCACCCCA